UUUCUUUCUCUCCCCCUCCAUUGACUCCAUUCUAGAAAUUCUUCCUCCUCAAUAGUUCCUGAACUAAUGCUGAAGAGGAUUGAUUCCCAUAUCUAAUCACAAUUUGUAGAAUAAAUAGGAGCUCCGUAUUCCAUUUGUCCAUCUAUUCAACUAACAUGCAUUGAGGAUUGCCACUUUGCCAGACACUUGGAGCCCCCAGAUAAACACAGCUAAAAUAUUCCAUCUCUGUCUUCCAAUCACAGUCCAGUGGGGAAUAAAGCAAGCAAGAAAUCCAGGGAUUGCCAAAGAAUGUGGCAGGAAUAAAGCACAAUCAGAGUGGUGUCAUUAAGAAGUCACAGACAAUGUCAUAGACAUUGCCCACAUCAGCUUUGGAACUCCUCAUUUCGAUGCCUCUGAAACAUCUGGAGGGAGCACAGCACAGUCAUUAAGCGUUGGCCUCUUGAGUCCCAGAGUGUCUAGGUUCAAUCUUGGCUCUGCCCCUUACAAGAUAGUAAUUUGAGACAUGGGGAAAUUAAGUAAAGGUGACAUGGCUGGCAAGUGGAGGAGCUGCGAUUCAAAUGGAGGAGCUGAGAUUCAAAUGCAGCCAGGCUGGGGCCAGGGCCAGAGUCUUCACCACCAUUCUACACCAGCUCUCACAGAGACUGCGCUCUCAUCUGCAUAUUCCCACUGUCUGUGUAAAGCAAUGGCUGAGGCUUUCAGAAGUAGCUUUACUAACUGAGGUUUGGAAUAACACACUUCUUGGCAAAGUAUUUUGGGAGGUAGAGGUGAAUGAUUCAAUUCAAUAAAUAGAUAUUCCAUUCAUA
rnacentral:lncRNA from 1 species